AUGCAGUCGACGGCAGCACGGGGGCAACCCUGGUGGCGAGUGGCGAACGGGUGAGUAACAUAUCGGAACGUGCCCUGGAGUGGGGGAUAACUAGUCGAAAGAUUAGCUAAUACCGCAUACGAUCUACGGAUGAAAGUGGGGGAUCGCAAGACCUCAUGCUCGUGGAGCGGCCGAUAUCUGAUUAGCUAGUUGGUGGGGUAAAGGCCUACCAAGGCAUCGAUCAGUAGCUGGUCUGAGAGGACGACCAGCCACACUGGGACUGAGACACGGCCCAGACUCCUACGGGAGGCAGCAGUGGGGAAUUUUGGACAAUGGGCGCAAGCCUGAUCCAGCAAUGCCGCGUGAGUGAAGAAGGCCUUCGGGUUGUAAAGCUCUUUUGUCAGGGAAGAAACGGUGGAGGUUAAUACCUUCUGCUAAUGACGGUACCUGAAGAAUAAGCACCGGCUAACUACGUGCCAGCAGCCGCGGUAAUACGUAGGGUGCAAGCGUUAAUCGGAAUUACUGGGCGUAAAGCGUGCGCAGGCGGUUGUGCAAGACAGAUGUGAAAUCCCCGGGCUCAACCUGGGAAUUGCAUUUGUGACUGUACGGCUAGAGUGUGUCAGAGGGGGGUAGAAUUCCACGUGUAGCAGUGAAAUGCGUAGAGAUGUGGAGGAAUACCGAUGGCGAAGGCAGCCCCCUGGGAUAACACUGACGCUCAUGCACGAAAGCG
rnacentral:rRNA from 1 species